AGUCUUCUUGCCCUCUGCUUUCUCCUAGCUUCUUCCCUCUGCAGCCCCUUCCCCUGGUCUUUACUGUCCACCCUGCUUUCCCUGAGUACAUGAAAGUGAGAAAAAAAAAUUGAAAACACUGACCUUCAAAUUAAAUUUAGCUAUAGUUAUUUGCAUAUAGCAUCCAUAGAUUUAGUUCAUUCAGAAUUGAUACGUUACCUUUUUUGUAAUUGCUGCAAGUUUUAUAACAGGACAGAUACUUAUAACAGAUAAGCCAACUGGUUAUCAGUGCACUUAUUGGUUAAACAAUUAAUCAUUUAACCUUUCAUCCCUAACACCUAUACCUUUACAGUUCUGUUGCGUGACUGAUCCAGUCUACUUGACAGUCCAUAACACAAAUAUACAGUUAAACCAUCAUCAUCACAUGGCAAUAUCGCAACUGUUUAUCUGUAUGUCUGCAUGCCUGUCGCCACUCUUACAUGUCAUAAUCACGCAGAAAAAACACCUCAGCACCUCUGCCCCCCUCCAAACUUCCCUGUUUCCCCCUCAGUCCUCUCACUCAUUGUCAUCUCCAUGCUCUCUGGCAGCCUCAUUCUUGAACAGCCUGUGCCAGUCUCUUCUCCUCCAUAUGUCCUCUGCCAUUUUUUCCUUGUUGUCUUCUGCUGUCUUUUUGUAGUAUAGCUGAAGCUCACUCCCAUUCUGAUGUGGUCCCUGACUAGGAGGGUCAUGUGUCUGUACAUGAGCAGGUCAAAGUGGGCUGUUGGGGUCCUUACUGCUUGGUCAUAUGGCUGAACAGUGCUGCCUCUCUGGUCAGGGUCUUGACCCCUGUCACCAUAAGGAGGAAUAUGAUUUCUCUCUGCCAUACCUCCCUGGUGUUUGAGCAGCUCCAGCUCCAAGGCCCAUGGGCUCAUGUUGGGUGGUGUGUCAACCCUCCAGCAUUGCAGCAGGUGCCCUGCUAAAAACCUCAUGAAGUGGGCUGUUUCGGAGUCUGCCUCAGCUGCCAGUUUGCAGAUCCGGCUCAUUUACUUGGCCCAGAGGAACAGCAGAAUGUCUGGCAUUCCUUAGCCCCUGGUCUGUUUAGUCUUGUACAGCAUGGCCCUCACAACCUUCUCCCAUUUGGAGCCUCAGAAGAAGAUGUAUAUGGCCUUCUGGAUUUUAUGGACAGUUUGCCUUGGUUGGAGGAGAGAAGACCAAUGUGGUAUACAGAAGCACCAAUAGCAACACUGUCCUUAUGAGUGCCGUGUGCCCCUGCAAAGACAGGUGGCACGUGUUCCAUAGUCCUGGUCUCUGUUGGUCUUGGCCACAGUCUUCUUCCAUGCUUUCUGGCCUGUUAGCUCUGGGUUGAAUUCCACUCCAAGGAUUUUUACUGCCUCGCUGGGGAUGAAGACCCCCAGGGUAGACAGUUCCCUGAGCUUGCCUAGUGCUAGGCAGGUGCUCUUGCCCACGUUGAGCUUAGUCCCUGCUACUGCUCUGUAUACCUAGGCAUGUUGCAGUACUCUUUCCACUGACCACUUAUCCCUGCGUAGGAUGCUGAGGUCCUUCAUAUAGGCUAGGACACUUUUCUCUGCCUCGCUGCCCCAGAAAUCUCCACUCCAUAGAUCUCAGGGUCUCACCUGAGAUGUUGGGCCAGUGGUUCCAUCACAUAGAUGUACAGGAUCAGGGAGAGUGAUCAUCCCUGCUGGAUGCCCAACUCCACCGCUGUCAGAGUGGUCAGGAACCCAUUCACCAGUACCCUGCUGUUCAUGUUGGUGUACAGUGUUUCAAAAAAAUGUUCCAGAGUAAGGUGGACAGACACUUGAGUGGAAUGGUUUAGUCUGGGAUGAUCCUGCCUUGAACAGGGGGCUGGACUAGAUGACCAACCUCAUGGGGUCCCUUCCAGUUGUACUCUCCUAUGAUCCUAAGAGCAUCUUAGGCCCAGAGCAGUUACAAACACAUAAGUUCAUGAAUGACAUGAUUUUAGGCCCUGCAGCUUCAUUGAAACCUUAAGUCCUCUCAAGAUUGAGACUAGAUAUUACCAGUGAAAGAAUUUUAAAAUUCAAGUGAAGUUUUUGCUGCUUGCAGAGUUUGCCUAUUUUUUGGCUUUGAGGUCAAUAAGCUCAGUUUAAAUGUUGUUUAUAGUCCACUUUGCUACACUGUGAUCUCCACGCUGCAAAUUUUGCAGGAGGAUGUGAGAUUAUUUCCAUUUAUAUGAAUAUAUUCCAUUUGAAUAUAUGAAAUACAAAAAAUAUGGAAAAACUUGGAGGUAUAUUUGUAGAUCUAAGGAUUUUUCCCCCCUUUUUCUAAGCAGAAGGAACUACCUGCCAGUCAAAGCUGAGUUAAGCAUGUCCUUUUCAAACUAUCCAGUUGCAAGCCUUUCCCUUUUCUGCUUUCCUUCCUAGAGCUGAAUUGAUUGAUUCUGUUUCUGAUCUGCAGUAGCUGGCACAUCACAUAGAAACCUGUACAAGCAUGAGGUACUGGAUCUGAGCCUGGUGGACUGGAUUUCGCCUUCAAACCUGCUGGUCUAAUCACCACUUCUGAUGGUUCGAGUUCCUCCAUACACGCCUUGUGAUUUGCAGACUUCUACCACCCUUUGGAGGCAGCUAGCCCUCAUUUGUGUCACCACCCACUCCUUCCCAUCUGUUGCUUUAGCUGACACUGCGGUGAGACUGUCACUACCCACUUGCUGUAUAGGGGACACUCGCAGAAGAUGGGCCAUUAUAUGAGCGCUUCAUUAGCCACCAACAUGCAGUGAAUGGCCUGAAGGGUGCGUCUCCCAGAGAUUGAGAUGCAUCAAUUUUUGGUGCUUCUGGAAGUGAGCACUGGAAAUUCACCUUUCUUCAGUGAAGAAACGCUGCUUCCUUGAUUUGCAUUUUCUACAGAAGCAUGUGAAAUUUCAAGACUGUCAGGGAAUCAGUUUUUUACCCUGCACAAUUUGAGCUAACACAGAUGAUAACAACAUUCAAAUAGUAACUGGGUGGCCAUAUAAAAAAUUACAUGGUCUGGUGAAGAUUGUGGUUUAAAACUGCUUUUGAAAGAAAAUAUGGUUUUUUGGUUAAACAUUUUUUUUUAUGCAUUAA